AUCCAUAUUGACUGAGUGUAUUAAAUACGUAGGAUAGUAUAAUUUCUAUUAUUAACAGGUAAUAAAAAAUAUAGAUAAUAGUUUUUUUUAUAUAUGCUAAUUGUAAACAAGUAAUUGAGACUUAUAGAACAACGAUUAAAUGUAGUCACACUAUAUAGCUCGCCAGAAACUCAGGUGUUUUUCUGUUUACAAUUUUAUCUGAUGUAUGAAAGUAUGGGUAUCGAUAAGGAUUAGUUUCCCUAGUAGUCCGUACUGUAAAAAAUGAAUACUUUAUGAUUUUUUUAAAUCAGGAAUAGCUAACGCAAAAGUAUUCUGCUUGGGGAGUAUUAUCGCAAGAUUAAAACUUAACUGAAUUGGCGGGAAUUUGUUCGAACGGUGGAACAUGUGGUUUAAUGCGAUAAUCCACGCAAAAUCUUACCAAUGUUUUAGGCUUUAUUAGUAGCAUAAUUAACAUUAUAGCUAAAAGAUAAAGUACGGAAUUGCAUGGCUGUCGUCAGUUCGUGCUGUGAAGUUUUGGAUUAAGUUCUUUUUAACGAAUGCAACCCUAUAAGUAAGUUUUUAUAUUAUAUUAACUAAUUUUAUAGUAUAUACUUAUUUAAUCUGUAGUUAAAUAGUUGAUAUCGUUUUUGAUUAUUUGACUACAGGGGUUAUAGGCUGAAGUCAAGUCCCUAUGGUCUUUAUACGUUGGGCUACACACGUGUUACAAGGGUGACAACAAAGAGACGCAAGAGUGAAAUCUUAAGCAAAUCUCUAAAAUCCACCUUAGUUCAGAUUGUUUUAUGAAAAUCUAAAGCAUGAAGAUGAAAUCGUUAGUAAUUGUAAAUUAUUAUGUUACAGUGAAACAAUAGUCAAAUUUUGCACACACCGCCCAUCACGCUCGGAAAGCCGAUAUUAGUGGGAGAUUUAAAAGCCCUUACAUAAAAAUUAGUUAAUUAUUACUAAUUGUGAAUAAAUUAUUAUUUAAUGAUGUAAAUGAGAAGUAGUAUCAAAUCUAGUAUUGGUA
rnacentral:rRNA from 1 species